CAGUAGCCACGGUAAUACGUAGGGUGCAAGCGUUAAUCGGAAUUACUGGGCGUAAAGCGUGCGCAGGCGGUUUGUUAAGACAGAUGUGAAAUCCCCGGGCUCAACCUGGGAACUGCAUUUGUGACUGGCAAGCUAGAGUGUGGCAGAGGGGGGUGGAAUUCCGCGUGUAGCAGUGAAAUGCGCAGAUAUGCGGAGGAACACCGAUGGCGAAGGCAGCCCCCUGGGCCAACACUGACGCUCAUGCACGAAAGCGUGGGGAGCAAACAGGAUUAGAUACCCGCGUAGUCCUGUCUCUUAUACA
rnacentral:rRNA from 1 species